UUUUUUUUAAAAAAAUAUUAUAUAUAUUUUUAAAAUAAUUUAAUUAGUUUGAAAUAUAAAUAAUAGGAAAACUUCAAAAAUCCUGCCUGUGGUUCCGCACUUUUUUUAUUUUAGUACUCUAUGCUUUAAAGUGUAUCAAGUUAGUAUCCUGUGGUUUCUCACUUUAUCACUUUAAUACCCUGUGAUUUAAAGUGCAUCAAGUUAAUACUCUGUGGUUUAAUUUUGGUAUCCAGUUAGUAUCAUGUGGUUUUAUUUUUAUAUCAAAUUGAUAUUAUGUGGUUUUUAAAGUAAUUGAUAUUAUGUGGUUUUUAAAGCAUAGGGUACUAAAGUGAUAAAGUGUAACCACAAAAUAUUAAAGUGAUAAAAUGCGAAACCACAGGAUACUAAGUUGAUACACUUUAAACUAUAGGGUACUAAAAUAAAAAAGUGCAAAACUACAUGAUACUAACUUAAUAUAUUUUAAACCACAAAAUAUUAAAGUGAAAAAAAAAAAACUACAGGAGGUAUUUAAAAUUUUUCCUAAAUAUUGUGAAACUGGUAUGCAGAAGACCGCCUUUCGGGCCACCACACCGCACGGAUCCGAGUUCGCACCGCUUCCUCGAAGAUAUCGCCGUGCUUACGUGGCACAAACACCACUCCACGUGAGACACCCACUUCUACACCGGCGUUAUCCCAAUCCCUUGCCGUCCCACACGUCUCAGAAAAAAAAAAAAAAAAUGACGUCUUUAACUAAUUAAAUAAUUAUUUUAAAAUUAUUCAUCUCAUUAUAAUUAUAAAAGAUAUAUUUAUUAUUUUUUUUAAAAAAAAAUUGAUUGAAUUGUUAUUGAUAAUGUAAUGCAAAUGUAAUACAGUAAAUUUUCUUCACGUCCCAAAAGAAGGAUUAUUGCGUGCACCGCGGUUUAUACUUUAUACACUAGACUCUUUUAAACUCAAAAAAUCUACUGAUUUUAUAUUUUUGAAUAAAAUUUAUUGGAUGUAAUCUAUGAUGCUAUGAAAUUAUAUACUUCAAAGAUUAUAUUUUUUAGUAAUCUUUAUUCCAUACAAUAAAUACUAAUUUUUAAUAAUAUAAAAAUAAUAAAUAUUUCAACAUUGGUAGUUUUAACGAAUACUUUGUAAGU
rnacentral:lncRNA from 1 species